UACGUAGGUGCAAGCGUUGUCCGGAAUUAUUGGGCGUAAAGAGCUCGUAGGCGGUUUGUCACGUCGGAUGUGAAAACCCGGGCUCAACCCCGGGCCUGCAUUCGAUACGGGCAGACUAGAGUUCGGUAGGGGAGACUGGAAUUCCUGGUGUAGCGGUGAAAUGCGGCAGAUAUCAGGAGGAACACCGGUGGCGAAGGCGGGUCGCUGGGCCGAAACUGACGCUGAGGAGCGAAAGCGUGGGGAGCAAACAGG
rnacentral:rRNA from 1 species